AAAAAUGUGCAUUUUGUGACUGUACUAUUUAGUGUCAUUGUUUUAUAGAUACCAUAGUGAGAAAGGAUUCAUUUCGCAACACCUACGGCUUCCACUAGAUGUCAACGAUCUUUAUAAAGUUGUUUGAAGCGUCUAUGAUAAACAGAGAGCAAAUUAGAAUCCAAGGAAGUUGACAUGUCAUCACUUCAUUUUUUUGCGCCUGCGCAUAAAUCUGAGAAACGUGAGUUUGUCAUCAUUUUUUAUCUAGACAUAGGAUAGGUUGUGUGAAAAUAUUACUGAUGUUUAACGUUAAAAAUGGACCAAAAGAUUAAUGCUAAACAACAUUUGACAUGUUUGAACGAACAUAAAUAGAUUAUUUACUAGGUUUUUUUAGCUUUUCGGCGUGAUUUUACCAGCCCCACAACCACGUUUUGUGGGAGCAUAAUGAACGCUAAGUACUUGGUGUUAUUUGGACAUAAAUUAUGAACUUUGUCAAAAGAAACCACAUUUGUUCCGGACCUGGAAUGCCUUCCGGACCUGGGAUCCUGCCUUCUGAUGGAGAUAAUCAAAGAGUCCAAUCCCAUCAACAUUUGCAGUGGUAUCAACAUCAAGCUCAGCACCAGGAACUAGUGCCUCCAUUCCUACACCCUGGAGGAUUGGAGACACAUCUGAAAGUGCACUCAUCUCUUCCACUGAGUGCCUCCCAAACCCAGCACAUCCUUCAGGCACUGACACUUCUCCAAGGAGGAGGAGAAAGAGGAAGAGAGAUAAGAGAGUAGCGGGGAGAUGGCUGUGUUCCCUCCACCUAGGUAAGUGACUCACCUAGCUCCAUGGGGCCGACGGAGGUGGAUGGACGAGCAGGUGAUAAAAACGGCAGGAUGUCGCCACUGGGACCAAUGGAGGUGGAUGGACAAACGUGAUAGAAAUGGUAGGAUGUCACCACUGGAACCGAUGGAGGUGGAUGGACAAACAUGAUAAAAACGGCAGGAUGUCACCCCUGGGACUGAUGGAGGUGGAUGGACGAGCAGGUGAUAAAAAUGGUAGGAUGUCACCCCUGGGACCGAUGGAGGUGGAUGGACGAGCAGGUGAUAAAAAUGGCAGAUGUCACCCCUGCAUGCAUCCUUAGAGCCUCUUACGCAUUUCCACACAUCACAGUUCUGCAGGUAGUGUCCCACGCAGCCCUGAAACAAAACACCAGCCCAAAGAGAGGGACUAUAGUACUGCAUGUGCAAGAAACACAACAAUCUGAAAAUGUCCCUAAUUCAGCAAAAUUGCGUAAACCCACAUAUGUGAAUAGUGAUCACCAUGCCGUUGUCUGUAUGUAGAGCUGCUGGGACACCAUGGUACUAACUUCCACAACAGACCAUGGUAACGAUUGUAAGUUAAUUUGGGAUAUGUUCCUGUCAUCCAAAGACAAG
rnacentral:lncRNA from 1 species